rnacentral:rRNA from 1 species
UACGGAGGAUGCAAGCGUUAUCCGGAAUGAUUGGGCGUAAAGCGUCCGCAGGUGGCAAUGUAAGUCUGCUGUCAAAGCGUCUGGCUCAACCAGAUAAAGGCAAUGGAAACUACAUAGCUAGAGUAAGGUAGGGGUAGAGGGAAUUCCUGGUGUAGCGGUGAAAUGCGUAGAGAUCAGGAAGAACACCGGUGGCGAAAGCGCUCUGCUGGACCUUAACUGACACUGAGGGACGAAAGCUAGGGGAGCGAAUGGG